AUCGGUUGUGCCAUCUCAUUGCAGGCCAAGCACAUGGAGAAGUUUGGGAAGAUUUGGUCAAGAUUCUCAAAAAGUAUGACAAGAGAACUAGGGUCCUUAUCCGUCUCCUCUUCAUUCAAAAUGUUCUGCUCCAACCUUUCUUCAACACUGACCUGCUAGCUUGUGGGGGAGUGCGAGGCUAUGCUCGAACAGCUCCUACCAUAUUGAACAAACCAUUUGUAUCGAAUGAACAAGGAACAAAAGAUAUCAACACCAAGACAAGCCUCUGAACCCUAUUUCUUCCUUGGAUAGCAGCGGAUGCAUUCCAAAGCUUGAUUAGAUUGAGUUCAUGGAGAGCAUGUACAUGAAUAGCUUGAUGAGAUAGAUUGCAAAUUAUGUGCAAAUGUUAUGUCAAAUUGGGUGAUGUGAACGUAUCAUUGGUACACAUCCAGUUGUGCAA